rnacentral:rRNA from 1 species
UACGUAGGGGGCAAGCGUUGUCCGGAUUUAUUGGGCGUAAAGAGCGUGUAGGCGGCCACACAGGUCUGCUGUGAAAACUCGAGGCUCAACCUCGAGCUGUCGGUGGAAACCGUGUGGCUAGAGUCCGGAAGAGGAGAGUGGAAUUCCCGGUGUAGCGGUGAAAUGCGCAGAUAUCGGGAAGAACACCCGUGGCGAAGGCGGCUCUCUGGGACGGUACUGACGCUGAGGCACGAAAGUCAGGGGAGCAAACGGG